CCCACUUCUUCUCAAAUUAAGGGGGUGGGUACAUGUAGGAUUUAAUCAUAGGGAUUAAUGUAUAGGUAUAGANCUCAAAUUAAGGGGGUGGGUACAUGUAGGAUUUAAUCAUAGGGAUUAAUGUAUAGGUAUAGAUGGUCUGUUUGUUUCAACGUAAAUAGAUUUUGGAUUCAAGUAGACUUUGGGUUGAACUAAAGUUCAGGUGAAAAUUACUUUAUCUCCGCUGUUUAUUUCUAUAGCUGUGAAGUGAAGUUCUGCCAAUUCUGUUAUUUGUUUAGUAGGAAGUGAAUGAAAUAAAAAGUGCGGUUCUUCAUUUACUCUGUUUGUUUUAUUGAAAAUUAUUUAAUCUCCGCACCCCCAUAAACUUACCUCCUACAUAAUAUUAUUGUCUCUUUUGUAACUUAAUAAAUAAUAAAUUAUAAAAAAUAAAUAAAAAAUAAUACAAUUAUAUUUCUAUACAAUUAUAAAAUAAAAUUUAAAAUAAUUAUAUUAAUUUUUUAUAUAAAUUAUAAUAAUGCAACAAAUAAAAUUUUAAAUUUAAAGAAUUAUUAAUAUUUAAAAAUUAAUUUUCAUCGUAUUUUUUAUGCCCCAACUUCCCAGGGGGUCAUCCAUCCUACGACUACUUCCGUCAAAACACACUUAACUCUCUUAACCUCUUGAAUCUAACCACUGCCCAAAAUACUUAAGCUGGAUUAAAAGUAUUAGCCCUAUUAUAUCAUAUAUAUAUAGGACUAUCUGGGGACUCGCAUUCUAAGGCUACUCUCGUCCUAGCACACUUAACUC
rnacentral:lncRNA from 1 species